rnacentral:lncRNA from 1 species
AUGGCCACGGUUAGCAUGAGCUUCACCCUGCAGCUGUGUGUGCUGUGCACCUGGGGUGCGCCCGUCACCCACGGUGCCGUGCAGCCGGGCAGGUGUGUGCGCCCGUCACCCACGGUGCCGUGCAGCCGGGCAGGUGGGUGCGCCCGUCACCCACGGUGCCGUGCAGCCGGGCAGGUGGGUGCGCCCGUCACCCACGGUGCCGUGCACCUGGGCAGGUGGGUGUGCCCGUCAUCCACGGUGCCGUGCACCUGGGCAGGCGUGUGUGCCCGUCACCCACGGUGCUGUGCACCUGGGCAGGUGGUGUGCACAUCACCCACGGUGCUGUCAGCUGGGCAGGUGGGUGUGCCCGUCACCCACGGUGCUGUGCAGCUGGGCAGGUGUGUGUGCCUGUCACCCACGGUGCUGUGCACCUGGGCAGGUGUGUGUGCCUGUCACCCAUGGUGCUAGAAGCAGGCAGAACAGUUUUUCUGCCCUAAAAACCUCUGCUGCUCCACCUGCACAUCCCUCUCCACAGCCCCGGGAACCCACUGCCCCCCUUCACCAUCCCAUUUUUCAGACGGUCACGGCAGUGGGAUCAUCAGCUGGGACUUCAAAGGAGGCUUCCGUGUGCAGCUCCUGUAAUAUGCACUUCCCAUGAAGUGGGGAAGUGGACAGUGAGAGAGAGACAGAGAGAAAGGUCUUCCUUUGCCGUUGGUUCACCCCACAAUGGCCACUGCGGCUGGUGCACCGCGCUGAUCUGAAGCCAGGAACCAGGUGCUUAUCCCAUGCGGGUGCAGGGCCCAAGCACUUGGGCCAUCCUCCACUGCACUCCUGGGCCACAGCAGAGAGCUGGACUGGAAGAGGAGCAACCAGGACAGAAUCAGGCACCCCGACAGGGACUAGAACCCGGGGUGCCAGCACCGCAGGCAGAGGAUUAGCCUAGUGAGCCACGGCACUGGCCCCCAUGAACUUUUAAAACAGUUUGCUAUUUCUUAGAGAGCCUGCGCAGACUGAGCCCUAUCUACUGUCUCACUCCCCACAAAACGCCCGCAGUGGAUGGAGGGGGCGUUGAAAGCUGGAAGCUGUGAACUCUACCUGACUUCUUAAGCCAUCACCACUACCUUCCAGGGUGCACAUUAGCAGGAAGCUGGAGUAGAGAGCCAGAGUGGGGACUCAAAUAGGGGACACGUUCCCCUAGCCAGUGUCUUAGCCAGAAGGCAGAAUGCCCUCCCACUCCCCACCCGGUGAGUGACUGUGCCGAGGUGUGGGCAGAGUACCCUGGGACUGCCAGCCAGAACAGCCAUGACUACCCCAAGGGCGCCCAGUGGGACAUGGCACCAGGGACAGGGGCUGUCUGCGAGGCUGAUGUCACAGCGGGAGGCAGCCACUGCCACGCCAGGCUGAGUGAUGGAGGGACAGGGGAAGAUACACACAGACCCUUCUUCCACCCUCUGGCCUCCUGUGGGGA